rnacentral:lncRNA from 1 species
CUGGGGAGAUGCUGGGGCACAUUGCUCCAGGAGAUGAGUGCCUGCCCUCAAGCAACUCUUAGCACAGUGGGGGAGAUGUACAUUGUGACACAUAGAGUGUAGUGUGAUGAGCACAAAGAUGAGAUAUACGGAGGUCUUCCUGUUACCCUUAUGGGAAUGCCCUUCACUGAGGCAGAAGCGGAGGAUGAAUAUGAGCUCACUGGUGGACACUGGGUGGAACGGAGGACACCAGGAGCAAGUUAAUUCAUAGAAGAUUGGAAAGGCAGAGUGCCCCGAAGGAGUGUGCGUUUUUCCAUCCUUAGACAAGUGUAAGAGAAGUGCCACCAGGACCGGGAUUUUUAUACAUCUUGCUUAUCACUAUAUAGCCGGUGCAGAACACACAGCAGGACAGUAGGCUUGAGGAAUUACGCGUCUUGUCCCAGGUCCCAGGUCUAGUUGGCGGAGUUGCCAGGAUUCAAACCUGAGUCUCCAUGAUUCUGGAAGUGAGGCUUGGACCAUGCUCCAUAACGCGAUUAGCAUAAACGACUGCUGGAACCACAGGAAACAUGGAUCCCACUUCCCAGGAAGAAGGUGGAGUCAAAAAAGGGGGGAAAGAGGAAAUCCUCAGUAACCCCAACCAUUGUGGGAAGAAGGAGAAUCUCCAGAGGAGACUGAGAGUAAUGCCAGAGCAAUAAGAGGAAACCGGAAAAGGAACUGUGUUCUAGAAGCUGAAGAAGGAGAACCUGCCCAAGGAACUGCGCAUCCUGCCCUACGCCACCGCAUCUAAGGAGUUUACAGGGAGAAGACUGUCCUCUCCUCUUGAGGAGAGAGAGGACAUCAGGCAUCAUUCAUCUGCAAGUUUUGGUGCAAGCUGCUGGCAUCAGGAAGAGAUCUGAGAGGAAGCGGCAGAGCAGGCCCUGUGCCCUUCGGUGAGCCCAGCUCCUCCUGGAGUGUCAGCCAGUCUUCUUACUCGGGAAAAAGAGAAAGCAGAGGUUAUCCUCCACUCCAUUCCAGGGCCAGGGAGAGUGACUGUUUAUAAAGCAGCAGGGGACUGAUGCUGGACAGGUUGGAGAAUGACGCAAGUUUUGGCUGAACUCCACAGAGGACUUCACAGUGUGAUGCGGUACUCCUUAUAAUUUGGUAAGUAGGAGUCCUUCGAGGGAGGAGAUGCGUCUUUUGGUGUCACUGGCUUCUUCCUGCUGCCUGGCAAGUGGAUUAGAGUGGGAGCAGCUGUCUUGGGUUCUGGAGCAUCACCUAAGAAUGGCUGAGCAACAAAGUAGAUAAUCCUGGGAACCUGAUGUUAGAGGCCUUUGGUGACUUCUAGAAGAGCAGUUCCUGAUUAGUGAUAGAAAAAUGAAACCAAAUCACCAGUCCAGGAAAUGGAAUGACCAUAGUUAGCCUGGAUCGAUCAGCAUUCACCCCACGUAGCAGGGGGGAGUCCGAGCCUGCCCUGAAAACAAGGCGGAUGGUAACACACAUGAAACUAAGGAGAAUUUUUGACCAGGAGAAAUGUCUUGUGGCUCCUACUCUUUAUCCUUUAACCUCUGGCUUCACUAGAUUUGUCUGAAACCCAACGGGGCUUUUCCGCUGGCGUGGGGCUGGAGUUCCUCCUCAUCUGAGUCCACCUGAGCUGGAGACACAAUUUGGAGUUCUCAGAGAUAGUCACAAU